rnacentral:rRNA from 1 species
UUUUCCUACGGGGCGCAGCAGUGAGGAAUAUUGGUCAAUGGGCGCGAGCCUGAACUAGCCAAGUAGCGUGAAGGAUGACUGCCCUACGGGUUGUAAACUUCUUUUAUAAAGGAAUAAAGUGAGGCACGUGUGCCUUUUUGUAUGUAUUUUAUGAAUAAGGAUCGGCUAACUCCGUGCCAGCAGCCGCGGCAAUACGGAGGAUCCGAGCGUUAUCCGGAUUUAUUGGGUUUAAAGGGAGCGUAGAUGGGUUGUUAAGUCAGUGGUGAAAGUUUGCGGCUCAACCGUAAAAUUGCAAUUG